AGUGCACGCUGGCGGCGUGCCUAAUACAUGCAAGUCGAACGGAGUGGCGCACGGGUGAGUAAUAUAUAGCUAAUCUGCCCCUUGCUGGAGGACACCAGUUAGAAAUGACUGCUAAUACUCCAUAGCAAGGCAUGAGACUAUAUCGUAUCAGCUAGUCGGUGGGGUAACGGCCUACCGAGGCUAUGACGCGUAACUGGUCUGAGAGGAUGAUCAGUCAGAGUGGAAGGGAGAAACGGUUCAAACACCGACGAGAGGCAGCAGUAGGGGAUAGCGCCCAAGGGGGGGAAAGCUUGCGUAGCAACGCCGGGUGGAGGAAGAGAAGUUUAGGAGCGUAAACUCGUGUUGUUAGGGAAGCGGUACCGAAAGAAUAAGCACCGGCUAACUCCGUGCCAGCAGCCGCGGUAAUAC
rnacentral:rRNA from 1 species